rnacentral:sRNA from 1 species
UAAAUCUGGAUGAUAAGGCAGUAAUCGAA